CAUGAGAUCAUCACCUGACCCAAAGUCGUAUGCUCAACCGACUGAGCCACCCAGGUGCCUCAGUAGGUAGCAUACAGUCGCCCACAGCUGGAGUCGCCUCUGGGAUGUGCCACUGCCACCAGUCGGCUAUGAUGGGAACUUGGCUCAUACUGGCAGCCACCUCUGUCCACACCAGUGUUCGGCAAAUGAAGCCCCAAGCGGAAAUCUGCCAAUUUAAAGGAAGUGGUGCUCUGUGGGUAUGCUGUUCCCUUUGAACCUCAGUGAAAUAAUCACUGCUUCACAUCUUUUAUUGCCGUGCCAUUAAUCUGAUAUGGGCGGGGGGUGGGAGGAUAUCAGUAGACAAAUUCUAAGGAAGGAAGCAUUUUAGUGGGUAGCUGAGAACCAGAGAAUCUUCCCACUGGCUUGGGGUAGAGGAGCAGUGCUGGGAGAGCCGCACAUCCUUGACAUCAGGGUGAUCCGGCAGAUGGAAGUGAAAGCAUGAUCCUCGCCAUCUGGGUAACCCGUGUGUGGAAAGCUGGUGGUUUCACACAUGUACACACUCUUUGCAAAACAGCAUAUGUUACAGCCACCCAGUAUCAUCCAUGACCAAAACCUGUUAGAAUUUGUAAACAGCUUGGAAGAACAACAAGAAAACUCUUAAUUGGGGUCUAUUUGGGCUUCCUUUAUCGAAGUGAGUGUCAUGUUAAAGUAAGGUCUUGUGACUCGCUUACAAGCUUUGGCACAUGUAAGUGCUGUCUCGGGCAGAGCCUACGCAAGGGACAAGUAUUAGCAUUUUAAAGGUAUUGAGGACAUUUUUAGAAGCCGUAACCCCUGUUGUCCCCAGUUCUAUUCACAAUGAACAGAAAAUUCACAUAAAAACGAAUGAACAAACAAAACUACUGGGAGAUGAUUAGCUUUGAAGAAUGAAGUAUAAACUGUUAGUUUCAUGCACAUGCUAAUUGCUUUCUACUGGUGCCACACAGAGAAAGGACCUGUAAGUGGGAACACUUCUUGCUGGAGUAUCUGGUGAGAUUAUGUAUAUGAAAGUGCAUUAUAGACUGUAAAGUGGUAUACAAAUGUGAUUAUUUACAGUGACAUUAGAAACUACCCCACAUGCCCCUCCCACCCGGAUCUCUUCUCUGUCUGUGAUUACAUGGCCUUUAUGUAUGGUACAAGCAAACACACAUGCGGGCAUAUCUAGAUUAUGUGAAGGAAGCUCUUUUCAACGUUUAUUUAUUUUUGGGACAGAGAGAGACAGAGCAUGAACGGGGGAGGGGCAGAGAGAGAGGGAGACACAGAAUCGGAAACAGGCUCCAGGCUCUGAGCCAUCAGCCCAGAGCCUGACGCGGGGCUCGAACUCACCGACCGCGAGAUCGUGACCUGGCUGAAGUCGGACGCUUAACCGACUGCGCCACCCAGGCGCCCCAGGAAGCUCUUAAUUAAACCUGUCACUUUUCUCUCUGGCCCUCAUCCAUAAUGUAGAGUUCUCUCCUUCUCCUAAUAGGUACCUAGGAUUCAUGGGCUUUUUUUCUCUGGCAUCUCAGAAGUUCUCCGGUCCUCCAAGGGACUCUUCAAUCUGAAGAUUAAGUGAGAUAGUUCUCAUAAAGUGCUUAGACAUUUCACCCAUAGAUACAUAGUAACGCUGGCAAUUACGAUUCUUCUGUCAUCACCCUGUCUUGUGUGUGGAUAUAAGGCCUGCCAUCUUCCUGGACUUCUGAGCCUGGGACCCCAAGAGUUCCCUAGAAUAGUAUAGAUGCUUACAAGCAAGUUGGCUAGAGAGUUUUGCUUGUUUCAACUUUUGCUGUUUGAGUAAAACUCAAAUCACUUUCCAUCAAUAAUCAGUUGCCACAUUUAAAAAAAUGAUUAUAAUUAUAACAGUU